CAAAUAAACUGCUGGAGUUCAUGUACUCACUCUCACUUCAGAAAUACUCCCACUCCCAGAAAUUCUCGAGAUACACGUGAGCAAUUUCACAACUAUUGACUUUCAACACCUCAGUGUCAAAAUCUGUCGUAUUUGGAAAUGAUGAAAUGGAGAACUGGCAUUGACACAGACGCCCGUCACCCUUUGAUGCAAUCACUUAGUCAGAGAGUUAAGGAGGUCGAGAUACCUGGUGUGCCAUCCACGCAUACCUGCCUAAUUCCCCAAAGGUGAACCACAUCAUGUGGAUGAAAAUACUUUCACUAUUAGGAAAUAGUGGGAGGAAUGAGGAUUGACUGAAUACACAAAUGAUGGACACUUUUAGGUGCGAUGUUUCAAUGCAGUCUGCAGAUGUUGGAGCUUCUGGACGGAUGCAUGAUCUUGCUCGAGACUUGUUCCCGAAUCGAACGACGUUUGCUGUCGUUCGUCACCAUUUU